UAUUUAGAAUGUUCUCUUUUCCUUAGGAAUUAUGAUGUUUAAGGAUAGAAAGGACAAAGAUUCUGAGAAAGAACUUUCACAUUGAAAAUUUUGGUUAUACCAACAUAGAUCUGAUAUUUGGGGCACUGCUUCUCCCUGCUGGACAUAAAGGAGAGCAAAGAGAGAGACAGUGGGAGGAAAAAAUGUUCUAAACCAUCCAGAGGGAACUUACGAUACUAUACCCCAAUAUGACUUCAGAACAAAGCAAUGAGAGUCAUCUAAGAAGCAAGUAUACUAGCAAUGAGGAGGGGAUGUCAGAUUGGGGGAGGAUGUAGCUGCUGCACUUCAGGGGCUAAAUGAUUGAGCAUGAUGUUUCUUUGUCAUAUGUAGAUCAUUGUUAAAAAUCAGAGAGGAUAAAAAGAAAGAGCCAAAGGGUCAGAAGAAAAGGCUAUACUACAAAAUAAAGACAGCACAUAGUUGUGCUUCAGCACAAACAGAUCACAUGGAUAACUGUCUCAUCUUUUCUGCCCUUGGGAAUGCUGAGAUUUCACACGGUACAACUCUACGUGAAACAGUGUCUUGGAUUGCAUGGCUGUAUAUCAUAUUGAAAUAGCCCAGUAAAAUUUAAAGAGUACCUUUUCUCUUUGGAAAUACAUUAGGCUUGCAUAAAUUUGGUCCUGUGUUCAUUUGAGGAAGUCUCUUAAGACAUUGGUAGAAUUUCCCACAAUUUGGUUUUGCCCACCCUUUCACAUGAUUUAGUGGGGAUGACAUGAUCUUGACAGAAUUGAAACACAACUGUGCUCUCCUCCAUUUGUCACAGCAUCAGAAGCAUGGUCUAUGUUACAUUGUCCACAUUACAGCUAGAGUCUGCAUGUUAAAGAUUUUCUGUCAGAAAGCCAGAAUGAAGACAAAAAAUCAGAGCCUGGCUUUCUCUCUUUGAAUACUGCCCAUGCCCUCUUUGCAGCAUUAAGAACAGAUGAGCCAGGCACUACACUUGAAUGUUGACACUACGCUUCGUGGCUACUGCUGAUUUUCCUUUAGAUAGGGUUCUGAGAGGAAUGCUUGAUGUACAUAUUGAUUUCUCCUCAGGGUGAAAAACUCCCCUUUAAAUAAACAAGCUCAGAAUUCAAAAAUACACUUUUUUCCCAUUGUUUUACUUUCAUAAAAAACAAUGAACACGGGUAGUUCAAAUGGAAAUGUGU